UACGAAGGGAGCUAGCGUUGUUCGGAAUCACUGGGCGUAAAGCGCACGUAGGCGGAUGUGUCAGUCAGGGGUGAAAUCCCGGAGCUCAACUUCGGAACUGCCUUUGAUACAGCACGUCUUGAGUCCGAUAGAGGUGGGUGGAAUUCCUAGUGUAGAGGUGAAAUUCGUAGAUAUUCGCAAGAACACCAGUGGCGAAGGCGGCCCACUGGCCCGGUACUGACGCUGAGGCACGAAAGCGUGGGGAGCAAACAGG
rnacentral:rRNA from 1 species